AGUCCCAGUGGAGGGCAGGGCCUUCCCAGCACAAUUAUAGCCAACGGCUGUGGUUGUAAGCGUGAACCUGUGGUCCAAACACGUAGCCCCAUGUGCCUAGCGAUAGAGUUCAGGUGCAUGUAGUGAGUGA